UCUCCUACGGGACGCAGCAGUGGGGGAUAUUGCACAAUGGGGGGAACCCUGAUGCAGCGACGCCGCGUGGGUGAAGGAGCGUUUCGGCGCGUAAAGUCCUAUCGGCAGGGGAGAAGGAGGACGGGACCUGACUAAGAAGCCCCGGCUAACUACGUGCCAGCAGCCGCGGUAAUACGUAGGGGGCAAGCGUUAUCCGGAUUUACUGGGUGUAAAGGGGGCGUAGACGGCAGCGCAAGCCAGGAGGGAAAGCCCGGGGCCCAACCCCGGGACUGCCCUUGGCACUGCGCGGCCGG
rnacentral:rRNA from 1 species